rnacentral:lncRNA from 1 species
GUUUUUCACCACAGUCAUUCUCCUGAAAUGCACAGCUGAGGGAAAGAAGAAUGUCAGAUGCCCCGCGAACGUGCAGAAGCUCCCAGUUGCAUCACCCUGGCGUGCCAGGUAUUGCAGCAAAUAGGAAAGGAACUUGACAUCAUCAGACAGUAAAUCAAGAGGUACUGACAACUGAGACUGAGUGAUGGUCCCUGCCUAGGAUUUGGAAUCUUUGCAUGAAAUAGGGACUCUAGCCACCAGCGACAAAGAAGUCAGGGAGACUGCGGUCUCUAGGAAGCACUUCCAGGAAACAGGAAUUCAGGCAAAGUUGGACAUUCCAAAGAUGGCGUAGAUGAACAUGACCAGGAAGAGCAGGAGGCCGAUGUUAAACAACGCAGGAAGGGACAUCAUCAAAGCAAAGAGCAGCGUGCGGAUCCCCUUUGCUCCUUUGACUAGACGUAGGAUUCGGCCAAUCCUGGCAAGACGGAUCACUCGGAACAGGGUAGCAGAGAUCUCUGGAGGUGAAACAUUGCUCUGAACUGGCAUUGAUUCUAGCCCAGCUCUUGUAGACCAAUUACCAACUUCUCCAUCUCCCUCCAGUGCCUGGAACUGGACCUGGCACACAG